rnacentral:misc_RNA from 1 species
AAGUCGUAACAAGGUUUCCGUAGGUGAACCUGCGGAAGGAUCAUUAUCGAAGUUGGGUUCGUCGAGCCCCUAAACUUCCACCCUCUGUCUACUACACUUUGUUGCUUUGGCGAGACGUCCCUCUGGGCCACCGGCCGUUGCUGGUGUGUGCUCGCCAGAGAAAACCCAAAUUCAAACCCUGUUAGUGAAUUGUCUGAAAACAAGUUUAAUAAUUAAAACUUUCAACAACGGAUCUCUUGGCUCUG